GCUGAAGGCUCUCCGAUGCUUAAGUCAGCAAGUAUGGGAUGCGUGGUAAUUUUGACAGAGUAACAGUAAAAUUAAAAAGUAGUAACCUCAUUGUGGGGACUUGUGCCCUUUUUAUGGAGAGGUGAAAGUGGGAGUUUGCACAAAAUUUUGAUGUGGGACUUUGUGCAAGUUACUGUCAUGGAGACAUGUGUCUGCAAUUCAAGUUCUGUAGUUUAAGAGCUUUGGCAACCACCUUCAGCAAGCAGUUGCCGCGUCGGAGGGAGAUGUGUUGGUGUCAUUGAUGUAUUACCUUCAGUAGGCUGUGAGUCUGUCCAUGUUCCAGUUCCCAGUGCCGAACGUACUCAAUUGAAUAUGGUACAAACAAAUACAAUGCACACAAGCAUCAUAAAUGAAGGACAAAUAUAAGUUACUUACAAAGAGGAAGAAAACCACAACUGUUAAAGAAAAAAAUUCCUCCCAGGAGAAUAUGAAGACUACUUUAGGCUGUUUUCUGCACAACCAGCUAAAGUACAUCAAAAAAUGUAGGACAGAAAUGCAUAGCAUAACUUGAUGUGAUAAAAAAAAAAAAAAAUUGCCUUAAUAGACAAAUAUGAGGAUAUUGAUUGAAAUUCCAUGCUUUGAUUCGAGAUGAAGACAAGAACUUUAUCUUCACAUGUCCAAAAGGUAAAUGACCUACGAAGCACUUUGAUUAUUAAAAAUUUGGUUGGCAUGUUGAUGUUUUCUGCUUUCAAAAAGUUAAGGUGAGUACAUCUUUCGUCCUUUCAUACAUAGUUUAUAGGAAGUUGUUUUUCUGAAUUACAUGUUAGGAAUUGGCAGUCCCUUUACUUGAUUGGGGUAUGAAGGAAGGAGAAGGACAUGAGAGUAAGUUAUCAAUCUAAUGUAUACUUCAAUGUUUGGAUGGUUGGGUUUCUUUAUACUCGUGUCUAGGGAAAUAUGUUAUGAAGCUUGGGUGAUGCGAGGGGAUUUUAGGUGAUCAGAUUUCAGUUAAAAAGUUUGGGAAUUUCGUGGAGUUCAAUGCUCUAAUGUAUGUGCUUCUAGUGGGAGGUGAUUACACAAGGUCCAAUAAUCAAGAGUUACUGUCAAUGUUAAGAUUGCAUCCUUCAUUUUCUAUGGACCAGGAGCCCUUCCAGGAUGUUUCGAUAAGCUUGCUUCCAACAACCAUUUCAAAUCAUUGGCCAUGCCUUUUAGAUUGUGGAGGCUGCAAGGGUAAGGCACAAUUUAAUUUGAUUGAAUAUGUGAAUUAACUCUGAAGGUUUUAUGAAGAGAUUAGAGGUGCACAGAGGGAUUAUAAUCUUGUGCUUUAACAAUGUCUUUGUUUUCGAAAACACGCUUCAAGCUCUC
rnacentral:lncRNA from 1 species